rnacentral:rRNA from 1 species
UACGUAGGGCGCAAGCGUUGUCCGGAAUUAUUGGGCGUAAAGAGCUCGUAGGCGGCUUGUCACGUCGGGUGUGAAAGCCCGGGGCUUAACCCCGGGUCUGCAUUCGAUACGGGCAGGCUAGAGUGUGGUAGGGGAGAUCGGAAUUCCUGGUGUAGCGGUGAAAUGCGCAGAUAUCAGGAGGAACACCAACGGCGAAGGCAGCUCGCUGGGACGGUACUGACGCUAAGGCGCGAAAGCGUGGGGAGCGAACAGG